AGCCCAUCCGAAAGGAACCUCAAAGUUAAGCGUGCUCGGCUCGGAUCAAUUUAAGGAUGGGUGGUUGACUGGGAAGUUGUUCCUAGGUGCGCACGAGUGAGGACAAAGUGUGCAGGAAAAACUAGUGUUGAUCUGUAGGGCCAGUCUAGAUCCCACAUGCAACGGCUAGGAACUGGUGGGUUUGGUCGGAGUAUUACACCUUCAAUGCGUCGUGUUGCUCUCUGCUAGCAGGUGGUGCCACUUCUUUGUGCAGGUCCAGGAGUUUGGCGGCGAGCUAGAGGGGCUGGCAAUAUUUCUGCCGGAAGCACAAGGUGUGGCCCGGCGACAUUGUUGUCCUGAAGCCCUCCAACCUCGGCCUGAAGGUCCAGAUCUACGACAGGAAAACCUCCACGAUCUGCUGUCGAUGCCAAAAGCGUGUCUGCGGAGGGCCCUAUGACCAGGCCAUCUGAUGUUCUGAACUAAGUAGUAGUACUGGAGUAGUAUGAGCGGUGUCUUUGCUUUUGCUGCUAAACUGUCUAUAUUUUGUUCAAGGAACAACACACCCUGAUCAAAUUGUGCAGGGGCAUGGGAUGCCCCUGAUGUCUUACAACUCUACCCCUCUACUAAUGUAGGUACUGCACGCUUGCUAAUGCCAGUGUUAAUUGUGUGUCCUGUUCAUCUGUUGUGUGCUUGCUAGUGUGAAGUUCAUAUGCUGAUUGCUUGCUAGUGUGGCGCAAAGUGGUGGAAAGGUCACCACUUUUGAAAGGGGCGUCCAAACAUCAGGCACAAAACUGCUCAGCAGUGCGAUGCAGACAACCUCACGGCUAAACCACACAUGCAGGCGUCCAAAUAUCAGGCACAAAACUGCUCAGCGGUGCAAUGCAGACAACCAAACUAGUUGCACAACGUGGCUCCGAGGCUGUUUCCACUCAGCCAGGCCCAACCGAGCCACAUAUGCAAAAGGCCAAAAAACGACACAGGCAGGUUUAACGGCUACGAACAGAAUAUGCGCCACGUAGGCAGAGGUUAAGGGCUACAGACAGAAAGGGCAGUUGCACUGUAUUUGCACGUUGGGGUAAGUUUGAGCGAAACGUGUAUUUUACAACUUUAGGUACCAAAGUGACCAUCGAGCGCAAGUUUAGGCACUCCCAGUGUAUUUACCAAGAAAGGGUUUCCCCCCGCUACUCCCAGUGUAUUUACAUCGUUUGAUUUCUAAGGACUUCUGUGACAUUAAAAUUGCUCUUGGUACACC